UACGUAGGGUGCAAGCGUUGUCCGGAAUUAUUGGGCGUAAAGAGCUCGUAGGCGGUCUGUCACGUCGACUGUGAAAUCCCGAGGCUCAACCUCGGGCCUGCAGUCGAUACGGGCAGACUAGAGUUCGGUAGGGGAGACUGGAAUUCCUGGUGUAGCGGUGAAAUGCGCAGAUAUCAGGAGGAACACCAGUGGCGAAGGCGGCUCACUGGCCCGAUACUGACGCUGAGGCACGAAAGCGUGGGGAGCAAACAGG
rnacentral:rRNA from 1 species